rnacentral:rRNA from 1 species
UACGGAAGGCAGCAGGGGGAAUAUUGCACAAUGGGCGCAAGCCUGAUGCAGCCAUGCCGCGUGUAUGAAAAAGGCCUUCGGGUUGUAAAGUACUUUCAGUCGUGAGGAAGGUGUUAAGGUUAAUAACCUUAGCAAUUGACGUUAGCGACAGAAGAAGCACCGGCUAACUCCGUGCCAGCAGCCGCGGUAAUACGGAGGGUGCGAGCGUUAAUCGGAAUUACUGGGCGUAAAGGGCACGCAGGCGGUUAAUUAAGUUGGAUGUGAAAUCCCCGGGCUUAACCUGGGAAUGGCAUUCAAGACUGGUUAGCUAGAGUCUUGUAGAGGGGGUAGAAUUCCAUGUGUAGCGGUGAAAUGCGUAGAGAUGUGGAGGAAUACCGGUGGCGAAGGCGGCCCCUGGACAAAGACUGACGCUCAUGUGCGAAAGCGUGGGGAGCAAACAGGGAUUAGAUACC